rnacentral:misc_RNA from 1 species
AGCAGCCGCGGUAAUUCCAGCUCCAAUAGCGUAUAUUAAAGUUGUUGCAGUUAAAAGCUCGUAGUUGAAUUUCGGGGUUAGUAGGUUGGUCAUGCCUCUGGUAUGUACUGGUCUCACUGAUUCCUCCUUCCUGAUGAGCCGUAAUGCCAUUAAUUUGGUGUUGCGGGGAAUUUGGACUGUUACUUUGAAAAAUUGAGUGUUUAAAGCAAGCUAACGCUUGAAUACAUUAGCAUGGAAUAAUGAAAUAGGACGUUCGAUCCUAUUUUGUUGGUUUCUAGGAUUGACGUAAUGGUUAAUAGGGAUAGUUGGGGGCAUUAGUAUUCAAUUGUCAGAGGUGAAAUUCUUGGAUUUAUUGAAGACUAACUACUGCGAAAGCAUUUGCCAAGGAUGUUUUCAUUAAUCAAGAACGAAAGUUAGGGAUCGAAGACGAUCAGAUACCGUCGUAGUCUUAACCAUAAACUAUGCCGACUAGGGAUCGGAUGAUGUUAAUUUUUUAAUGUACUCAUUCGGCGCCUUAACC